UACCUGGUUGAUCCUGCCAGUAGUUAUAUGCUUGUCUAAAAGCUUAAGCCAUGCAUGUCUAUGUUCAGCUCCUUUGAGGGGUGAAACCGCGAAUGGCUCAUUAUAUAAGUUGUGGCAUAUUGGUCAGAGCGUUUUUACUUGGAUAACUGUGGGAAUUCUAGAGCUAAUACAUGCAUUCAGGCUUUGACUCCUGGCAACGGGAGGAGGAGCGCUUUUAUUAGAUCGAAGCCAACCUGGGUGUACGCUUGUCGUGCAUUCCGGUCUGCAGGCUUGUUUUGCGGGCUUGAUGACUCUGGAAAACUACAGGCCAAUUGAAUCUCGUUCUGAGGUCUAUGUGACCAUAUGGCAACUUAUCGAUCAGCUUGAUUGAUGUGUAUUGGACAACAAUGGCUGUUACCGAUAACGGGGAAUCAGGGUUCGAUUCCGGAGAGGGAGCCUGAGAGACGGCUACCACAUCCAAGGAAGGCAGCAGGCGCGCAAAUUACCCACUCCUGGUUCAGGGAGGUAGUGACGAGAAAUACCGGGAAGGGACAUUGUUGUCCCCGCUCCCGGAAUGAGACGAUUUUAAACCUCUUUACGAGGACCCAUUGGAGGGCAAGUCUGGUGCCAGCAGCCGCGGUAACUCCAGCUCCAAUAGCGUAUAUUAAUAUUGCUGCGGUUAAAAAGCUCGUAGUUGGAUUUGAGCUCCGGCCGGUGUCAGCAGGGUCGUGGUACGGUCUCUGUCUGUGCCGGUGCCGGGCUUCUGGUUGUCGGGUGGCCGGCCGGGACGGCGGCUGUUGGCUCUUGGGGUGACCCUUGGGCUGUGGCUGCUGGCCUGGUGGCAAGGCGCUCGGUUGAGUUUACUUUGAGAAAAGGAGAGUGCUUAAGGCAGGCUUGUUAUGUCUGUGGAUCUCGGUGCAUGGAAUAAUGGAACAGGGCCUCGCGCCUGUGUUUGUUAGUUUCGGGGUGCCCCGAGGCAAUGAUUAAGAGGGACGGUUCGGGGGCAUUCGUACUGUAGGGGGAGAGGUGAAAUUCUUGGAUCCCUGCAAUACGAACAACUGCGAAACGAUUUGCCAAGGACGUCCUUAUUAAUCAAGAACGAAAGUUAGAGGUUCGAAGGCGAUCAGAUACCGCCCUAGUUCUGACUGUAAACGAUGCCAACUGACAAUCGGCCCCUGGUCGCGAGUAAGACGGGGUUGGCAGCCUCCGGGAAACCAAAGUUUUUGGGUUCCGGGGGGAGUAUGGUUGCAAAGCUGAAACUUAAAGGAAUUGACGGAAGGGCACCACAAGGAGUGGAGCCUGCGGCUUAAUUUGACUCAACACGGGAAACCUCACCAGGCCCGGACACUGGUAGGAUUGACAGAUCUUUCCCCAUGAAGCUCUUUCUCGAUUCAGUGGGUGGUGGUGCAUGGCCGUUCGUGGUUGGUGGAGCGAUCUGUCUGGUUCAUUCCGAUAACGAACGAGAUUCUGUCCUGCUAACUAGGUGAUUACUCUGUGCUCGUUGCAGCGUUUAUCAGUGCUUCUUAGAGGGACGGGCGGCGCUUGAUAAGCCGCACGAAGUCAGAGCAAUAACAGGUCUGUGAUGCCCUUCGAUGCCCUGGGCCGCACGCGCGCUACACUGAAAGAGACAACGCGCUCCCUUCCCUCGUGGAGGGCUAGGCCGUUUGUCGGUGCGUUCCCGGUUCGAAAGGAUCGGGCAAUCGCUGAAUCUCUUGUGGUAUGUAUGUGCCUUUCGUGGUUGGAAUUGUGGCUUGAAAUUGUGCCUCAUGAACCAGGAAUUCCCAGUAAGCGCGAGUCAGUAGCUUGUGUUGAUAACGUCCCCUGCCCUUUGUACACACCGCCCGUCGCUACUACCGAUCGAGUGAUGUAGUGAGGCUUUUGGACCGUUCAGGAACGAGGCUGCGGUGCUCGCUCGCGGGCGCUGUGGCCUGUAUUUCCCCGGGAAGAUGGCCGAACUGGAUCGCUCAGAGGAAGUAAAAGUCGUAACAAGGUUUCCGUAGGUGAACCUGCGGAAGGAUCAUUA
rfam:Eosentomon sp. FNSA-2002 small subunit ribosomal RNA gene, complete sequence.